rnacentral:ribozyme from 1 species
AAGAGAAAACAGGCAACAGAGAGGAGAAAAUGAAACUAAGCCAGCUCCCUGCCCUUUGCUUAUUGUCGUUGUUUCUUCAAUCAUGCUGCAACCUGUUUUCUCUUUGUCUCCUUUACUUUUUUUUUCUUUUCUUUCCCC